rnacentral:rRNA from 1 species
GACGAACGCUGGCGGCGUGCUUAACACAUGCAAGUCGAACGGAAAGGCCCUGCUUUUGUGGGGUGCUCGAGUGGCGAACGGGUGAGUAACACGUGAGUAACCUGCCCUUGACUUUGGGAUAACUUCAGGUAACUGGGGCUAAUACCGGAUAGGAGCUCCUGCUGCAUGGUGGGGGUUGGAAAGUUUCGGCUGUUGGGGAUGGACUCGCGGCUUAUCAGCUUGUUGGUGGGGUAGUGGCUUACCAAGGCUUUGACGGGUAGCCGGCCUGAGAGGGUGAACGGCCACAUUGGGACUGAGAUACGGCCCAGACUCCUACGGGAGACAGCAGUGGGGAAUAUUGCACAAUGGGCGGAAGCCUGAUGCAGCAACGCCGCGUGCGGGAUGACGGCCUUCGGGUUGUAAACCGCUUUCGCCUGUGACGAAGCGUGAGUGACGGUAAUGGGUAAAGAAGCACCGGCUAACUACGUG